CACCCCGAGGAGCGCUGCAGCCGGUCAUCCCAGAGAUGUUUGACCCGUCAGGCUCGGGGUCGCAGAUCUGGUUGACGAUCUGCUGGCACUCACAACGGCGCUCACCUGUU
rfam:Comamonas testosteroni CNB-2, complete genome.